CCCAGACUCCUACGGGAGGCAGCAGUGGGGAAUAUUGCACAAUGGGGGAAACCCUGAUGCAGCGACGCCGCGUGAGCGAUGAAGUAUUUCGGUAUGUAAAGCUCUAUCAGCAGGGAAGAAAAUGACGGUACCUGACUAAGAAGCCCCGGCUAACUACGUGCCAGCAGCCGCGGUAAUACGUAGGGGGCAAGCGUUAUCCGGAUUUACUGGGUGUAAAGGGAGCGUAGACGGCGGUGCAAGCCAGAUGUGAAAGCCCGGGGCUCAACCCCGGGACUGCUUUGGAAACUGUUUGACUGGAGUGCAGGAGAGGUAAGUGGAAUUCCUAGUGUAGCGGUGAAAUGCGUAGAUAUUAGGAGGAACACCAGUGGCGAAGGCGGCUUACCGGACUGUAACUGACGUUGAGGCCCGAAAGCGUGGGGAGCAAACAGGAUUAGAUACCCUGGUA
rnacentral:rRNA from 1 species